AAGAUAUUAGUAAAAUUAUUACAUAACUUUGUCAAAGUUAACUUACAGGUUAGACCCCUGUAUAUCUUC
rnacentral:tRNA from 2 species